rnacentral:rRNA from 1 species
AUACGAAGGGGGUUAGCGUUGUUCGGAAUUACUGGGCGUAAAGCGCGCGUAGGCGGAUUGGUCAGUUAGGGGUGAAAUCCCAGGGCUUAACCCUGGAACUGCCUCUAAUACUGCCAGUCUUGAGUUCGGGAGAGGUGAGUGGAAUUCCUAGUGUAGAGGUGAAAUUCGUAGAUAUUAGGAAGAACACCAGUGGCGAAGGCGGCUCACUGGCCCGAUACUGACGCUGAGGCGCGAAAGCGUGGGGAGCAAACAGGAUUAGAAACCCUAGUAGUCC